AAAGCAAGACCGUGAGGUGGAGCAAAACUCAAAAACUUGUCUCAGUUCGGAUUNUAGGCUGAAACUCGCCUACAUGAAGCUGGAGUUGCUAGUAAUCGCGAAUCAGCAUGUCGCGGUGAAUACGUUCCCGGGCCUUGUACACACCGCCCGUCACACCAUGAGAGUUGGCAAUACCCAACGUACGUGAUCUAACCCGCAAGGGAGGAAGCGUCCUAAGGUAGGGUCAGCGAUUGGGUGAAGUCGUAACAAGGUAGC
rnacentral:rRNA from 1 species